UACAGAGGUGCCAAGCGUUAGGCGGAAUCACUGGGCUUAAAGCGUGUGUAGGCGGAUCGUUAAGUGUCUUGUGAAAUCCCACGGCUCACCCGUGGAACGGCUGGGUAUACUGGCGAUCUUGAGCCACCUAGGGGCAGUCGGAACAAGUGGUGGAGCGGUGAAAUGCGUAGAUAUCACUUGGAACGCCAAUGGUGAAAACAGACUGCUGGGGGUGUGCUGACGCUGGAGACACGAAAGCCAGGGGAGCAAACGGG
rnacentral:rRNA from 1 species